UACGAAGGGGGGCUAGCGUUGUUCGGAAUCACUGGGCGUAAAGCGCACGUAGGCGGAUUGUUAAGUCGGGGGUGAAAUCCUGAGGCUCAACCUCAGAACUGCCUUCGAUACUGGCAAUCUCGAGUCCGGAAGAGGUUGGUGGAACAGCUAGUGUAGAGGUGAAAUUCGUAGAUAUUAGCUAGAACACCAGUGGCGAAGGCGGCCAACUGGUCCGGUACUGACGCUGAGGUGCGGAAAGCGUGGGGAGCAAACAGG
rnacentral:rRNA from 1 species